AUUGAACGCUGGCGGCAUGCUUUACACAUGCAAGUCGAACGGUAACAGGCCGCCAGGUGCUGACGAGUGGCGAACGGGUGAGUAAUGCAUCGGAACGUGCCCAGUCGUGGGGGUAACUAACCGAAAAAGUAGGUAAUACCCCCAAAGGACUAAGGGAGGAAGGGGGGGGACGGAAGGCCUCGGCCGGAUGGGACGGGCGAUGUCAGAUUAGGUAGUUGGUGGGGGAAAGGCUCACCAAGGCAACGAUCUGUAGCUGGUCUGAGAGGACGACCAGCCACACUGGGACUGAGACACGGCCCAGACUCCUACGGGAGGCAGCAGUGGGGAAUUUUGGACAAUGGGCGCAAGCCUGAUCCAGCAAUGCCGCGUGCAGGAAGAAGGCCUUCGGGUUGUAAACUGCUUUUGUACGGAACGAAACGGCUCUGGUUAAUACCCGGGGCUAAUGACGGUACCGUAAGAAUAAGCACCGGCUAACUACGUG
rnacentral:rRNA from 1 species